GAGUCCAAAUAUUAGGGAGAUAGGUUUAUGAAAAAUCUUUAUUUUAUUUUAGUUAUAUUUUGUCUAAGGACAAUAAUGUCUUUUCUCUUUGUAUAUUGAGGUGCAGAAAUUAAAUAAGUUGAGCUAGGCGAAGCAACAUAGAAUGUUGCACCCUAGAUGGCGAGAGUCCAGUAGCCAAAAGCAUCACUAGCUUAACCUCUGACCCGAGUAGCAUGGGGCAUGUGGAAUCUCGUGUGAAUUAGCAAGGACCACCUUGCAAGGCUAAAUACUCCUGGGUGAGCGAUAGUGAAGUAGUACCAUGAGGGAAGGGUGAAAAGAACCCCAUCGGGGAGUGAAAUAUAACAUGAAA
rfam:Vigna angularis cultivar Jingnong 6 chromosome 3, whole genome shotgun sequence.